rnacentral:pre_miRNA from 1 species
CAGCUACUCCCUCCGUCCGAAAAUAGUUGUCAUCAAAAUGGACAAAAAGGGAUGUAUCUAGAACUAAAAUACAUCUAGAUACAUCCCAUUUUAUUCAUUUUGAUGACAAGUAUUUCCGGACGGAGGGAGUACGUG